GACGAACGCUGGCGGCGUGCUUAACACAUGCAAGUCGAACGGAAAGGCCCUGCUCUUGUGGGGUGCUCGAGUGGCGAACGGGUGAGUAACACGUGAGUAACACGCCCUUGACUUUGGGAUAACUUCAGGAAAAUGGGGCUAAUAUCGGAUAGGAGCUACUGCAGCAUGGUGGGGGUUGGAAAGUUUCGGCGGUUGGGGCUGGACUCGCGGCUUAUCCGCUUGUUGGGGGGGUAGUGGCUUACCAAGGUUUUGACGGGUAGCCGGCCUGGGCGGGUGACCAGCCACAAUGGGACUGAGAUACGGCCCAGACUCCUACGGGAGGCAGCAGUGGGGAGUAUUGCACAAUGGGCGGAAGCCUGAUGCAGCAACGCCGCGUGCGGAAUGACGGCCUUCGGGUUGUAAACCGCUUUCGCCUGUGACGAAGCGUGAGUGACGGUAAUGGGUAAAGAAGCACCGGCUAACUACGUG
rnacentral:rRNA from 1 species